rnacentral:lncRNA from 1 species
AUUACCUCCCCUUACCAGAAGGAUAGAUUCUGUCUGUAUUUACACUGAGGAUGGAGGAAAUUUAAUUAAAUUCUUUCAAGUGCUAGAUUUACUUGCACUAUCAAUUUACUGCCUAACCCACCAUUCUCAUUUUGGAGAAAGAGAAUAGGACCAUAUGUCUCAAACUUAUCAAUUGUCAGCACUUCCAGUAAUAGUUUUCUGCUUAGAAUCAAAGAAAGAUUUGAGUUUUUGAGUCCCCCCAAAGCCCUCUAGUUAGAAACGUAUGGACUUUGUGAUUUGGAACUGAAUUUACUAUACACUUUUGUUUAUUGGAAUGAGUUUUGAAAGAAAUCUAGUAUCUUACUUGCAAAAUAUUUUAACGCAAAGUUUGGCAACUUCUCCAAAGGGUAGUUCUCCCAUCAUUGCCUGGUGAAAACUAUGCAAGAAUUACAUUAAACACCACCACCACCAAUUAAUCAUCUAUAUAUUUGGCCAAGGGACAAAACCCUGGCCUGUGGGGAAAGCCAGAAAAGGCAAGGAUAAGUACACAGUUCAUUACCAUGGAAAUAUAUCAGUAUAAAGAGAAACGUGGUAAAAAUUUCUGAUGGCAGAGAGAAUGAUUUCACAAUCCUGUCCCCAAAAUGAUAUUACGGAAAAGUUUCUCCCAUUGAGCUUAGAUGACUAUUUAAUUUAUAGAUGGAACAGAAAUAUACAUGCAUUUUCACAUUUCUCUAAUUUGCAGACAAAAUGUCUGAUAUAAAGCUCAAAAAAAAAAAAAACCCAUCCAAAAUUUAAUGGGGCAUGUGACCUGUCCUCAAGUAGCUUAUAGUGCAGUUGAAAAGAUAAGACUUGCACAUAUGGCAUCAAUAAAGUCAAAGAAAUUCUGUUAUGAGGAGUGAAAUGCAUAUAAUUAAUGUCAAGCUGCACAGAAUGGACACACAUUAGGAGCUAUGGGAAAUUAGGAAGAGGAACAAAGGAUUAAUGGCAGCUCAAGUCUUAAAGAUUCAUGAAGAAUGUGUGGUAUGUGUUAUGUAUCUCAAAGGUGGGGCACAGUUUCAAUGAGACAUUCUGGUUGAAAAAGAGGGAAAAAAGAGCAAAAGCAUGAGAGAGGAAAUACAAUGGGCAGAAGGCAAAGAAGAGGCCAGGCUGACUAGGAUAGAGUUUGUGAGAAUGUGGGCACGGCAGGGUAGAUUCAGACUUGGCAAUGCAGGCUUAAGCAUUUGGUUUAGGUUCCACAGGCAGGGAAGAGCCAUCAGGAUCCACUGAACAGUGUAGUGACACGAUGAAAGUAGUGUUGUGGGAAAAUUAGACCAAGAUUUAUGGGAUUGCAUAUGGCCAUCCAGAUGGCAAGUGCACCAGUUGCAAAGAUACUUACUUGCCAGUACAGCGAGCAGUGAGAUGACUGUGAAAGGCUGGCGUGAAAUCAGGCCAUGAUGGCGGCUGGGAUCAACCAGAAUGAGUUCAGAUGGGGAGAACAGAUAGUUUCCACUGGCAAUAUGGAAGAGUUGUGAUGAAACAUCGUGAUCGUUCGAAUGGAGCACACCCAAAAGAAACCGAGGAAAGCAAAGACACUGAGGAGAAUAAGAGAGUUGGAAUAGUGAGGUCUCAUUAUUAUCUGCCCCCUGCCUCUCUCUCCAAACUAAUUUUGAUGCAUGUGCCAGUUGUCCUGAACUGCCUGUGGUUUCCUGAGAUCCGUGUUUUCUUACCUCUCCAGGCCUUUGCACGGAAGGCUCUUUCUACCAUUUUUUCCUGAAUGCAUUUUUUUGUAGGCAGAAUGGGACCCAAAGACAAAGACCCUAAGCCCUGGAACCUGUGAAUAUGCUACAUGACAUAGUAAAAGGAACUAUGCCAAUGUAGUUAAGGUUAUGGAGCCCAUGAUAGGGAAGAUAAUCCUGGGUUAUCCAGGUGGGCCCUGUCUAAGCACAGGAGCCCUUGAAAGCAGAGAACCUUCUCCUGCUGGAAUCAGAGAGAUGUGACAGAAGGAGAAGUCAGAGUGAUCUGAAGUGUGAGAAGGACUCAAUUUGCUGUUGCUGGAGGGAAGCCACAGGAAAACCGAAGGUGGCUUCUAGGAGCAAAGACUGGCCUCCAGCUAACAGCCAGCUAGGAAUGGGGACUUCAGUCCUAUAACUUCAAGGAAAGGAAUCUGGCAAUCGACCUGAGUGAGCUUGGAGUCACCCUGAAUGAGCUUGGAUGUGAAUUCAAUUCCAGAGCCCCAGAAAGGAAGGUAGCUGCUGACACCUUGGUAUCGACCUUAUAAGACGCAAAGCAGAGAAACUGGCCAGGCUACACUGUACCCAGACUCCUUUUUUUUUUUUUUUUUUUUUUUUUUUUUUUUUUUUUUAUGGAGAUUCUCAGGCUAGGGGUUGAAUCAGAGCUGUAGCUGCGGGCCUGUGCCACAGCCACAGCAUGCAGGAUCUGAGCCGUGUCUGUGACCUACACCAUAGUUCGUGGCAAUGCCAGAUCCUUAACCCACUGAGUGAGGCCAGGGAUCGAACCUGCGUCCUCAUGGAUACUAGCCAGAUUUGUUAACUGCUGAGCCACGAAGGGAACUCCCUAUACCCAGACUUCUAACCUGCAAAACUGGGAGACAAUGAAUGGAUGUUGUUUUAAGGCAGUGAUUUUUUUUUUUUAGUAAUUUGUUACAGUAGCCAUAGAAAACUAAUAUAGCACCCUUAACACUCAGCUCAAACAUCAGACUUUUGGGAAGGCUUCCCUAAGCCCCUCUCUGGGUUCCCGUAGCACUCUCUAUGUUUCUUUAUCAUGGCACAGAUGACAUCAUAUGCAUGUCAUGUGGGUGCACAGCUGCUUCCUUGCCUAGUGAGUACCAAGAAGGAAGGGACCAUGGCUAUUCAUUUUGUAUUUGUAUCUGUAGCACUUAGCACAGUGCCCGAUGCUUGGUGGCAGUUCCUCACCAAGUAUUGAGGUGGAAAGAGAAGGAAGAUGGGAAGAAGAAAAUGUGGCUGAGAGAGAGAAAGGGUUAAAAAAAAUGGAGUAGGAGUUCCCGUCAUGGCUCAGUGGCUAACGAAUCGGACUAGGAACCAUGAGAUUGCAGGUUCGAUCCCUUGCCUCGCUCAGUGGGUUAAGGAUCCGGCGUUGCCUUGAGCUGCAGUGUAGGCUGCAGACGCGGCUCGGAUCUGACGUGGCUCAGCUCCGAUUUGAGCCCUAGACUGGGAACCUCCAUAUGCUACGGGUGCGGCCCUAGAAAAAG